rnacentral:lncRNA from 1 species
UUAUCGUCUCCAUACUUCAGACCUUCAUACUUUCUUCUUGUCUUUUCUGUAGUUGCUGUUUCCUUGAGCACUAAGGACUAGGUUUGAAUUCAGAAACAAGCAGGAAUAUAUCUUUUUUCUUGUAAACAGGACUCUGUACUCCUAAGCCUGAUGUGAUUUCCCUGUUGGAGCAAGGGAAAGAAUCAUGAUGGUCUCAAGGGACAUUAUGGGAGGAUGGUGCCCAGGUAAGUAAGGAUUCUGAACAGGUAGGCAGGCAGUGCAUUUAAGAAUCAGCUAAAAAAAAAAAAAAAGAAUCAGCUGGUCAUGGAGGCAGAACCUCAAUGGUGUUUACUGAGGCAUCUUCCUCAGAGGCCCAUUCAAGGGUGUGUGGAAGCAUGCUGUUCAUUUUGUUAUUCUUCAUAUCUUUUAUAUAUAUAUGUGUGUUUGUGUGUGUGUGUAUGUGUGUAUACAUAUAUAUGUGCACAAAAAACACUCUUGUUUGAAAUAUUUUGUAAUAAGAAAUACUUUCUUGCCCAGUUUAUGUGAGGCAACCCCCAGCACCAUAAAAACAAAACGAAACAACUUUCAGAUCAUUAGUGAAACUAAUAUAGAAAUAGAUUGGCCAGUUAGGAUGCUGUGUUAAUAAUUUACACAUAAUGAUAGUUUAGACCUGGGUCAGCAAACUAUGUAUGGCCUGUGGGCCAUCAUCUGUUUUUGUAAAUGAAGUUUUUAGGAACAUAGCUAAACUCUCGCUUAAAUAUUGCCUGUGGCAUCAGAGACAAAUCCUCUGAAAGAGAAACUAGGAAAACUACCCCAUUUACAAUAGCCUCAAAAAUAAUAAAACGCUUGGGAAUCAACUUAACGAAAGAGGUUAAAAGAAUUCUACAAUGAAAACUACAGAAUGCUAAAGAAAGAAAUUAAACAAGAUCUUAGAUGAUAGAAAGAUCUCCCUUAUUGUUGGAAAGGCAGAACUAGUAUUGUCAAAAUGACCAUACUACCAAAAGCAUUAUACAGAUUUAAUGUGAUUCCAAUAAUAAUCCCAAUGACAUUCCUCAUAGAAAUCAAAAAGGAAAUAAUGAAAUCAUCUGGAAAAAUAAGAGACCCAGAAUAGCUAAAGUAAUUCUUAGCAAGAAGAGUGAAGCAGGU